UUGAUUAUGACGUACUUGUACUGAUUGAGAUUUUAACACGAAGUGAGUGGCGAACGGGUGAGUAACACGUGGGUAACCUGCCCAGAAGUAGGGGAUAACACCUGGAAACAGAUGCUAAUACCGUAUAACAGAGAAAACCGCAUGGUUUUCUUUUAAAAGAUGGCUCUGCUAUCACUUCUGGAUGGACCCGCGGCGUAUUAGCUAGUUGGUGAGGUAAAGGCUCACCAAGGCAGUGAUACGUAGCCGACCUGAGAGGGUAAUCGGCCACAUUGGGACUGAGACACGGCCCAGACUCCUACGGGAGGCAGCAGUAGGGAAUCUUCCACAAUGGACGCAAGUCUGAUGGAGCAACGCCGCGUGAGUGAAGAAGGGUUUCGGCUCGUAAAGCUCUGUUGUUAAAGAAGAACGUGGGUAAGAGUAACUGUUUACCCAGUGACGGUAUUUAACCAGAAAGCCACGGCUAACUACGUGCCAGCAGCCGCGGUAAUACGUAGGUGGCAAGCGUUAUCCGGAUUUAUUGGGCGUAAAGCGAGCGCAGGCGGUCUUUUAAGUCUAAUGUGAAAGCCUUCGGCUCAACCGAAGAAGUGCAUUGGAAACUGGGAGACUUGAGUGCAGAAGAGGACAGUGGAACUCCAUGUGUAGCGGUGAAAUGCGUAGAUAUAUGGAAGAACACCAGUGGCGAAGGCGGCUGUCUGGUCUGCAACUGACGCUGAGGCUCGAAAGCAUGGGUAGCGAACAGGAUUAGAUACCCUGGUAGUCCAUGCCGUAAACGAUGAUUACUAAGUGUUGGAGGGUUUCCGCCCUUCAGUGCUGCAGCUAACGCAUUAAGUAAUCCGCCUGGGGAGUACGACCGCAAGGUUGAAACUCAAAAGAAUUGACGGGGGCCCGCACAAGCGGUGGAGCAUGUGGUUUAAUUCGAAGCUACGCGAAGAACCUUACCAGGUCUUGACAUCUUCUGACAGUCUAAGAGAUUAGAGGUUCCCUUCGGGGACAGAAUGACAGGUGGUGCAUGGUUGUCGUCAGCUCGUGUCGUGAGAUGUUGGGUUAAGUCCCGCAACGAGCGCAACCCUUAUUACUAGUUGCCAGCAUUAAGUUGGGCACUCUAGUGAGACUGCCGGUGACAAACCGGAGGAAGGUGGGGACGACGUCAAAUCAUCAUGCCCCUUAUGACCUGGGCUACACACGUGCUACAAUGGAUGGUACAACGAGUCGCGAGACCGCGAGGUUAAGCUAAUCUCUUAAAACCAUUCUCAGUUCGGACUGUAGGCUGCAACUCGCCUACACGAAGUCGGAAUCGCUAGUAAUCGCGGAUCAGCAUGCCGCGGUGAAUACGUUCCCGGGCCUUGUACACACCGCCCGUCACACCAUGAGAGUUUGUAACACCCAAAGCCGGGGGGUAA
rnacentral:rRNA from 1 species